rnacentral:rRNA from 1 species
CAUGUAGGCGGUUUUGUAAGCCUGGUGUGAAAUCCUGCAGCUUAACUGUAGAAUUGCAUCGGGUACUGCGAGACUUGAAUCACAGAGGGGAAACUAGAAUUCCAGGUGUAGGGGUGGAAUCUGUAGAUAUCUGGAAGAAUACCGGUGGCGAAGGCGGGUUUCUAGCUGAUGAUUGACGCUGAGGUGCGAAAGUGCGGGGAGCAAACA